rnacentral:rRNA from 1 species
GACAGAGGGUGCAAACGUUGUUCGGAAUUACUGGGCGUAAAGCGAGUGUAGGCGGUUUGGAAAGUCGGAUGUGGAAGCCCCGGGCUCAACCCGGGAAGUGCCCUCGAUACUCCCAAGCUAGAGUAUCGGAGAGGUUGGUGGAAUUCUCGGUGUAGAGGUGAAAUUCGUAGAUAUCGAGAGGAACACCGGUGGCGAAGGCGGCCAACUGGACGAAUACUGACGCUGAGACUCGAAAGCGUGGGGAGCAAACAGG